CGUUCCCUGCAAGUUUCGCGUCCAAAGUUGCGAAAGUUCGUGCGAAGUUUCUCAGUUCGUGACGUAGAGCGAAAGUUCUGCACAACGAAAGUUCGAACGAAGUUUUGCGACAGGCCUUGCGAAAGUGUGUACGAAUUUUCGCACGAACUUUGUGUUCUGCACAUUUUCGUAGUUUGCACGCGUCAAGUGCACGUACGACAUGACCCAAUCUCACGAAACUUCCUACGAAAGUUCAUUUCGCGUUCCCUGCAAGUUUCGCGUCCAAAGUUGCGAAAGUUCGUCCGAAGUUUCUCACUUCGUGACGUAGAGCGAAAGUUCUGCACAACGAAAGUUCGAACGAAGUUUCGCGACAGGCCUUGCGAAAGUGUGUACGAAUUUUCGCACGAACUUUGUGUUCUGCACAUUUUCGUAGUUUGCACGCGCCAAGUGCACGUACGACAUGACCCAAUCUCACGAAACUUCCUACGAAAGUUCAUUUCGCGUUCCCU